UCCCUUGGCCUCCUGUCUUACCUCACCAUGCUCCUCACUAACAGAUAAAUAAAGAAGACUCCCCAGCUGGUGUAGGUGGCUGAGUAGGAAAGGUAAACAAGAGAGCCACAGUCUCAGUGCUGUCCACCAGACUCUGCGACUCUCUGUGUGAGGGUAGAAUUGAUAAAAUGCCUUUCUGUUCAUCAUGGAUCCAAGUUCUCUGCAUCAUUGUGUUGGCAUUUCCUCCUCAUUCCGAGCAAAGGAGAGUGAAUAAAACCAAAGACUUGAAGAAGUAAUUAGUCCAAAAGACUAAUGGACCACUAGCCUGAGGCCAGAAGAGCUAGAUGGUGCCUGGAUACCACCACCGACCGCUCUAAUCAGGAUCACAACAGAACGUCCCAGUUUGAAUGGGGGGAAAAAAUGUAGAACAAAACCCAAAUUCAUUAAAAAAGAACAGACUUACUGGCCCCAUAGAGACUGGAGGAAUUCUUGAGACUAUGGCCCUUAGACACCCGCCCUUCUAACUUGGAACUGAAGCCACUUCCAUAGAUCACCUUUCACCCAAAUAAUAGAUAGGCUUAUAAAAGAAGC